rnacentral:rRNA from 1 species
ACGGGAAAACUUACCAGGUCCAGACAUAGUGAGGAUUGACAGAUUGAGAGCUCUUUCUUGAUUCUAUGGGUGGUGGUGCAUGGCCGUUCUUAGUUGGUGGGUUGCCUUGUCAGGUUGAUUCCGGUAACGAACGAGACCUCAGCCUGCUAAAUAGUCACGGUUGGUUCUCCAGCCGGCGGACUUCUUAGAGGGACUAUUGGCGACUAGCCAAUGGAAGCAUGAGGCAAUAA